rnacentral:rRNA from 1 species
GACGGAGGGUGCAAGCGUUGUUCGGAAUUACUGGGCGUAAGGCGUACGUAGGCGGCGGAUUAAGUCGAAUGUUAAAGCCUGAGGCUCAACCUCAGAGAUGCACUCGAUACUGGUCUGCUAGAGGGUGAUAGAGGAAAGCGGAAUUCCCAGUGUAGCGGUGAAAUGCGUAGAUAUUGGGAGGAACAUCAGUAGCGAAGGCGGCUUUCUGGGUCACACCUGACGCUGAGGUACGAAAGCGUGGGGAGCAAACGGG